AUGCCCACUUCCGCAGCACAUAUACUAAAAUUGGAACGAUAUGGAGAUUAGCAUGGCCCCUGUGCAAGGAUGACACACAAAUUCAUGAAGCAUUCUAUAUUUUU